GAUGAACGCUGGCGGCGUGCCUAAUACAUGCAAGUCGAGCGAACAGACGAGGAGCUUGCUCCUCUGAUGUUAGCGGCGGACGGGUGAGUAACACGUGGAUAGCCUACCUAUAAGACUGGGAUAACUUCGGGAAACCGGAGCUAAUACCGGAUAAUAUAUUGAACCGCAUGGUUCAAUAGUGAAAGACGGUUUUGCUGUCACUUAUAGAUGGAUCCGCGCCGCAUUAGCUAGUUGGUAAGGUAACGGCUUACCAAGGCAACGAUGCGUAGCCGACCUGAGAGGGUGAUCGGCCACACUGGAACUGAGACACGGUCCAGACUCCUACGGGAGGCAGCAGUAGGGAAUCUUCCGCAAUGGGCGAAAGCCUGACGGAGCAACGCCGCGUGAGUGAUGAAGGUCUUCGGAUCGUAAAACUCUGUUAUUAGGGAAGAACAAAUGUGUAAGUAACUAUGCACGUCUUGACGGUACCUAAUCAGAAAGCCACGGCUAACUACGUG
rnacentral:rRNA from 1 species